GGUCAUUUAGAGGAAGUAAAAGUCGUAACAAGGUUUCCGUAGGUGAACCUGCGGAAGGAUCAUUAUUGAAUAAACCUGAUGUGGUUGUUGCUGGUUCUCUUGGGAGCAUGUGCACGCCCGUCAUCUUUAUAUUUCCACCUGUGCACCUUUUGUAGACCCAGAAGACUUGAGCAAUUGAGUCGUUUGGGCCUAUGUUUAUCAUAUACCCCAUAGUAUGUAUUAGAAUGUAUCAGUGGGGCUUCGUGCCUAUAAACACUAUACAACUUUCAGCAACGGGAUCUCUUGGGCUCUCGCAUCGAUGAAGAACGCAGCGAAAUGCGAUAAGUAAUGGGAAUUGCAGAAUUCAGUGAAUCAUCGAAUCUUUGAACGCACCUUGCGCUCCUUGGUAUUCCGAGGAGCAUGCCUGUUUGAGUGUCAUUAAAUUCUCAACCUCUCUAGUUUUUAUUAACUAGUAGAUGGCUUGGACUUGGAGGGUUGCAGGGCUUUCACAAGUCAGCUCCUCUUAAAUGUAUUAGGCCGGUGCCCUCUAACCGUCUAUUGGCGCGAUAAUUAUCUACG
rnacentral:rRNA from 1 species